rnacentral:rRNA from 1 species
AUACGGAGGAUGCAAGCGUUAUCCGGAUUUAUUGGGUUUAAAGGGUGCGUAGGCGGUUUGCUAAGCGGGAGGUGAAAUGCCGGCGCUCAACGUCGGAAGUGCCUCCCGAACUGGUGGACUGGAAUGACUCUGCCGUGGGAGGAAUGUGUAGUGUAGCGGUGAAAUGCUUAGAGAUUACACAGAACACCGAUUGCGAAGGCAGCUAACGAAGGGUGGAUUGACGCUGAGGCACGGAAGCGUGGGGAUCAAACAGGGUUAGAUACCCUGGUAGUCCACGCAGUAAACAAUGAUGGCUAACCGCUGGUUUAUUCGGAUCAGUGGCCAAGCGAAAGCGAUAAGCCAUCCACCUGGGGAGUACGACCGCAAGGUUGAAACUCAAAGGAAUUGACGGGG